GGCCCGCACAAGCGGUGGAGUAUGUGGUUUAAUUCGACGCAACGCGCAGAACCUUACCCAGGCUUGACAUCCUCGGAACCUGAUGGAAACAUCGGGGUGUCCCCUCACGGGGAAGCCGAGUGACAGGUGCUGCAUGGCUGUCGUCAGCUCGUGUCGUGAGAUGUUCGGUUAAGUCCGGCAACGAGCGCAACCCCUGUCGUUAGUUGCCAUCAAUUCGGUUGGGCACUCUAGCGAGACUCCCGGUGUUAAGCCGGCGGAAGAUGGGGAUGACGUCAAGUCCUCAUGGCCCUUAUGUCUGGGGCUACACACGUACUACAAUGGCAUUUACAGAGGGCAGCAAUACGGCAACGUGGAGCCAAUCCCAAAAAGAAUGCCUCAGUUCGGAUUGGAGUCUGCAACUCGACUCCAUGAAGUUGGAAUCGCUAGUAA
rnacentral:rRNA from 1 species